CCUACGGGAGGCAGCAGUGAGGAAUAUUGGUCAAUGGACGAGAGUCUGAACCAGCCAAGUAGCGUGAAGGAUGACUGCCCUAUGGGUUGUAAACUUCUUUUAUAAAGGAAUCAAACGAGGCACGUGUGCCUUUUUGCAUGUACUUUAUGAAUAAGGAUCGGCUAACUCCGUGCCAGCCGCCGCGGUAAUACGGAGGAUGCGAGCGAUAUCCUGAUUUAUUGGGUUUAAAGGGUGCGUAGGCGGACUGUUAAGUCAGCGGUAAAAGCCCGGGGCUCAACCCCGGCGAGCCGUUGAUACUGGCUGUCUUGAGAUGUCGAGAGGUAUGCGGAAUGCGCAGUGUAGCGGUGAAAUGCUUAGAUAUUGCGCAGAACUCCGAUUGCGAAGGCAGCAUACCGGCGGCGAUCUGACGCUGAGGCACGAAAGCGUGGGUAUCGAACAGGAUUAGAUACCCGAGUAGUC
rnacentral:rRNA from 1 species